UCAGUCCUUUGUGGAACAGGAGAGUCCCAACCCUGGAAACAAAAUAGAAUUGGAGAUUCCUGAGCAGGCAGUGGAAAUCUCUACACAGAGAUCCUGAAGAAGAAGUUUCCAAAUUUCCCCCAAGAGCUAACAGUGUCUACAGAACUAAGAGUGUCUGCAUUUGAAAAGGGAGGACCUCUUGGGUGCUGAGUGUGAAUAUAUGCAUGGGUGUGUGGGGGGAGGCAGAUCAGGGCCUGGUUGUAUCUUUGGACUGUAACCUAUACAGGUGGGAUUAGAUUGCUAAGAACACUUCCUGGGGGUUUUCUGGUGGGUCUUGGCUAUCUUCAGGUACCUUCUGCAUGGCUCUGGAAUUUCACUUAAACACAGGUACUGUGCCUGGCUCUCCAAAGUCACCCUUUUCUAUGGGAGAAGAGAAAUCUACCAGGGAGGGAGCCAGCCUUUUGAUUUUUUAAGCACAUGAAAAAUCCCCAUCUCCUUGUAGGCCUGAAGAGAAAUUCAGCAGGGCUGCCAUUUCCUACUUUCUGAACAUACCACCCACCAACUUACCAAGGGUGCUGCAGUGAAGACGGGAAAAUAGCAGAUUGCAGUUGUCAUGGUGAUUAUAUCAAGCCACCACGCUCAGAAGAUGGUGGUGAGAAGCCAGGCACGGAGAUGGAAAAGACCCCCACGCAAUCCACAGUUCCCAGCUUUUAGUCCGGAGACUCCUCCCUCUUCUCACAGAGUCCCCUUCUCCCUAGCGCUGCAACCAGGCAGGUGGAGAGGAUGAUAGGAGAAGGAACACAGAAGGGCAAGGGCUCAGACAGUUGCAUCUCACUCGCUCAGCAAAGCAGUGCCUGGGGGCCAGGAAGAUAAAGAAACUGAGGCUU